rnacentral:rRNA from 1 species
UACGGGGGGGGCAAGCGUUGUUCGGAAUUACUGGGCGUAAAGGGCUCGUAGGCGGCCAACUAAGUCAGACGUGAAAUCCCUCGGCUUAACCGGGGAACUGCGUCUGAUACUGGAUGGCUUGAGAUUGGGAGAGGGAUGCGGAAUUCCAGGUGUAGCGGUGAAAUGCGUAGAUAUCUGGAGGAACACCGAUGGCGAAGGCAGGUCUCUGGGCCACUACUGACGCUGAGAAGCGAAAGCGUGGGGAGCGAACAGG